CAGUCGCCGCGGUAAUGCGGAGGGGGCUAGCGUUAUUCGGAAUUACUGGGCGUAAAGCGCACGUAGGCGGCUUCGCAAGUCAGAGGUGAAAGCCUGGGGCUCAACUCCAGAAUUGCCUUUGAGACUGCGUCGCUCGAAUCCGGGAGAGGUGAGUGGAAUUCCGAGUGUAGAGGUGAAAUUCGUAGAUAUUCGGAAGAACACCAGUGGCGAAGGCGGCUCACUGGACCGGCAUUGACGCUGAGGUGCGAAAGCGUGGGGAGCAAACAGGAUUAGAUACCCCUGUAGUCCCUGUCUCUUAUAA
rnacentral:rRNA from 1 species